rnacentral:misc_RNA from 1 species
AUGGGUCAGGUCCUUGCCAAUUUAUUAUCAACACCACUAGCUUCGAGUGACGGGGAGGAGUUGCAAUACGUUGCUUUUGAUCUAGAUCCUUCUGUUGUAAAGGCUUCUACAAAACUUGGUUUUCCUGUUAUCUAUGGUGAUGGUUCACGUCCUGCAGUGCUGCAGUCUGCUGGAAUAUCUUCUCCGAAAGCAGUUAUGGUCAUGUACAGAGGAAAAGAAAGGACCACAGAAGCUGUCCAGAGAAUUCGACUAGCCUUCCCAGCGGUA